rnacentral:lncRNA from 1 species
GUGAAACCCUAGAAAUGAAUCUAAUGAAAUGUUCACUGGAUUACUGGGUAAGAUGUUACUCUAUAUACCUGAAGGAGUGGAUAAGAUAAACCAGCUGCCAGCGUGCUGAAAUGAGACACAGAGAUUCAUGAUAUGUUCACCUGCUACCUGCUUUGGGUCUGAACCAUGGUUGGCUACAGGGCAGGUAUGUGCAUAUGUGGCAAGCUCCCUUUAAGAACUUUGGUCUCUAAGUCUCAAAUGGGCUUUCCCGCAUAAGGAAAUAUCCCUGCAGUUCACAGACAGAAAAAAAACCACAAAUCCAUGUGAUUUUUGCAGAGGAAAAACAAGAAAGUGUGACUUUGACCUCUCUAGGCUCCACCUAUGUAAAUCUUCCCCCUGCUGUUUCUGCACAGUAUUCUUCACUUAAUAAGUUGUAGCUACAUAUAUAAUCUUACAUUGAACUGUUUAAGUCCUUCCAGCAAAUCACACAACCAGUGGGUGUUCGAAUACUCCAGAUAAAAUGCUUCAUGAGGUUUUACUGCAUUUCUCUAUUUUUGUUUUGUUUUGUUUCCAUCUGGUUUUAGGACGAGAAAGUUUCUGCAAAUAUGGUUCUUUAUGUCAAUUCUAAAAGCUUCCUGGAUUACCUGUUAGAAUUUGCCUCGCUUUCCUUGUAUGUUCACGAUUCUGUGUUUUUUUAUAGCCAGAAAAGAAGAGAAAAGUAAAGGAGAAAGAGAAGAAGAGGAGGAGAAGGAGAAGAGGAGGAAGAGAAAGAAGAGGAGAAGCAGGAGUAGGAAAAAAAGAUGAAAUUAACUAGAUAUUAUAAUGGUAGAAAAUAGCAGAUGUCAAACGUAACUUGCAAGAAUUAAUAAAAGUGGAAUUAAUCUAAAUUCUCUCUGAACUCCUGGAGAGGAACAUCUUUUUUGUUCUGCUGUUGUGCACAUUUGUUUUAAACUCUGAUCCCCACAACUCUGGAAAGAGUCAUUAUACUUUUUUUCCUAAAUAUAUUCACUGGAGUUUUUCAGUCCUUGCCCAACAAGUGCAUCUACAUUUCCCAGAAGAAAUUAGAGCUUUAAUUAAGCUUGCAGGAGCCCUCAGUCCUAUAAAAACUAAAUAAUUAAAAGAUAUUCAGAACCAGAGGCAGCAAGGAUGCAAUUUUAUGAACACACACACCUGUCUAUUUUCCAGUGCCAACAUAAGGUGUUUAUGUCCUAAAGGGAAAAGGUCUAAGCUAGGAAAGAAGGACAGAAAAGAGAAGCAACUAGAUAAUGGCCAUCACUAAUUGCUAAGACCUUUUAAAAUAAAUCUUUUUCAUCAAUUAAUCCCAUUAAUCACCUAGUAAUGUUUCUGGUGCUGACCCAGAGCAGCUCUGAAGAAAGAAACACAGAUUCAGCGUUUUAGCCUCUCCUUUGCUUUGUCCGUAAGUUUUCUUUCCUCUGCCAAGGCAGAAUAUUUGCUGAGCCACACGGGGUUUCCUGACUUUCAAUAACAGUGGGUAAAACACCAGCUGGCUUUCAACAUAUAAUGUGUAUCCUCAUCUUUCCAUAACUUUGGUUCCACAAUUUUAUACCAAAACAAUUUCUCAGUUUAACCUCUUCUUGCAGAAAAACAUAUGCUCACUUGUUUUCAAUGAAGCACUCUCAGGAAUUCACAAUUAGGAUCUAGAACUGUUUCCAAACUCUGAAACACACAUGCAUUCUCAACAGGUCUCUCCAGGGCCUUCGAAAACACAGAAUCAGAUCAGGAGGAGGAAAACACAUGAAAGACACUUUGGGAGGCCAAGUUGGGGUCAGAAGUUCAAGACCAGCCUGGCCAACAUGGUGAAACUUCAUCUCUACUAAACAAUGCAAAAAUUCGCCUGGCAUGGUGGCGCACACCUGUAGUCCCAGGUACUCGGGAGGCUGAGGUGGGAGAAUCUCUUGAACCCGG